CUACGGGCGGCUCCAGUGGGGAAUAUUGCACAAUGGGCGAAAGCCUGAUGCAGCAACGCCGCGUGAGUGAUGAAGGUUUUCGGAUCGUAAAACUCUGUUCUAAGGGAAGAUAAUGACGGUACCUUAGGAGAAAGCCCCGGCUAACUACGUGCCAGCAGCCGCGGUAAUACGUAGGGGGCAAGCGUUAUCCGGAAUUACUGGGCGUAAAGGGUGCGUAGGUGGCCUGACAAGUCAGGGGUCAAAGGCAACGGCUCAACCGUUGUAAGCCCUUGAAACUGUCGGGCUUGAGUUCAGGAGAGGAAAGCGGAAUUCCAAGUGUAGCGGUGAAAUGCGUAGAUAUUUGGAGGAACACCAGUGGCGAAGGCGGCUUUCUGGACUGAUACUGACACUGAGGCACGAAAGCGUGGGGAGCAAACAGGAUUAGAUACCCUAGUAGUC
rnacentral:rRNA from 1 species